rnacentral:rRNA from 1 species
GUGAAAUUGUUGAAAGGGAAACGGUUGAAGUCAGUCAUGCCGGUGGGAAUCCACCUAGGGGAAACUCUGAGUGCAUUUCUACAUUUGGCAGGUUAGCGUCGAUUUUUGAUGUUAUAAAAUGACUGGGGGUAGGUAGCUCCUUCGGGUGUGUUAAGCCCUUAGUAGAUGUGAUGUUUAGGAUCGAGGAUUGCAACGGAUACCUUUUAGGCUAAUUGCCUGAUCUCUAGUUUGAAGGUGGGUUAUGGACAGCGUGCUGACCGUGUUCUAAUUUUCGGUUAAAAGAUUAGAGCUAGUGUAAAUUCGUUAAGGACGCUGACGUAAUGGCUUUAAACGAC